UGCNAGUCGAGCGGUAACAGGUGUAGCAAUACAUGCUGACGAGCGGCGAACGGGUGAGUAAUGCUUUGGAAUCUUCCCAGUAGUGGGGAAUAACCAGUCGAAAGAUUGGCUAAUACCGCAUACGUCUGUAAAGGGAAAGCGGGGGCUCGUAAGACCUCGCGCUAUUGGAUGAGCCAAAGUCGGAUUAGCUAGUUGGUGGGGUAAUGGCCUACCAAGGCGACAAUCCGUAGCUGGUCUGAGAGGACGACCAGCCACACCGGAACUGAGACACGGUCCGGACUCCUACGGGAGGCAGCAGUGGGGAAUAUUGGACAAUGGGGGAAACCCUGAUCCAGCGACGCCGCGUGUGUGAAGAAGGCCUGCGGGUUGUAAAGCACUUUUAGUGGGGACAAAAAGCUACGGAUUAAUACUCUGUGGUCUUGAUUUAACCCAAAGAAAAAGCACCGGCUAACUCUGUGCCAGCAGCCGCGGUAAUACAGGGGGUGCGAGCGUUAAUCGGAAUUACUGGGCGUAAAGCGCGCGUAGACGGUUUUGUAAGUCAGAUGUGAAAUCCCUGGGCUCAACCUGGGAACUGCAUUUGAUACUGCAUGGCUAGAGUAUCGAAGAGGGAAGUGGAAUUUCCGGUGUAGCGGUGAAAUGCGUAGAUAUCGGAAGGAACACCAGUGGCGAAAGCGACUUCCUGGUCGAAUACUGACGUUCAUGUGCGAAAG
rnacentral:rRNA from 1 species